rnacentral:rRNA from 1 species
CCUACGGGAGGCAGCAGUGAGGAAUAUUGGUCAAUGGGCGGGAGCCUGAACCAGCCAAGUCGCGUGAGGGAAGACGGUCCUAUGGAUUGUAAACCUCUUUAGGCGGGGAGCAAUGCCGGGCACGCGUGCCCGGAGGGAGAGUACCCGCAGAAUAAGCAUCGGCUAACUCCGUGCCAGCAGCCGCGGUAAUACGGAGUAUUAGAGCGUUAUCGGGAUUUAAUGGGUUUAAAGGGUGCGUAGGCGGAUUUUUAAGUCAGCGGUAAAAUGUCCGGGCUCAACCCGGGCCGGCCGUUGAAACUGGGGAGCUUGAGUGGGCGAGAAGUAUGCGGAAUGCGUGGUGUAGCGGUGAAAUGCAUAGAUAUCACGCAGAACUCCGAUUGCGAAGGCAGCAUACCGGCGCCCGACUGACGCUGAGGCACGAAAGCGUGGGGAUCGAACAGGAUUAGAUACCCGUGUAGUC